AAGAUUUACACUCAGAAUCACUUUUUAGUUUAUUAUUUCAUUAUGAAACAGUUUCCCCUAUCAAGACACUUUUUCUCUCAUUUCAAUACCUUCUUAUUUGUUCCCAACGUAUAAAACCCAUAAUUUUUCCUGUUAUCUCUAGUUGAAACCUUAUGUGGCCACAAAUCAUUUUAUUUUUCUCCUUUUCUUUCCUUAUCUCUCAAAUUUUUACUUUGUCCUCCUCAUACAAUUUUUUUCUGUAAAAUAAAACAUGUUGAGAACAAGAUGAAGAGGAGAAACAUGAUGACUAUGGAGCUCGAGUUUUGCAGUCCCUAGUCGGCCUCAUAUAGAACCAAUAGGAAAAGAAGAUGAGGACAGAGACGAUGAUGGCAUUCAUAAUGAAGACGGCGACGACAGCGAGGACAGAGAAGACGGCAGCUUGAUGUGUUAUCUCAUAAUCCGUCAGAUCACCCUUGACGAUUGCUCCGCGUUGAAGUGAGGUACAUGUAUUGACCGUCGUUGCCAGCUCAUCGAAGGGUGACAGAGAGUUCACUUAGCUUUGACACCAUUUUCAAACAGAGAGCUAUAAGGUUUGCGGCGGGAUCAGAAGAGGAUGAGAAAAAGUGAAUAUGGCAGACACAAAUUUUAGCCCUCAAAAUAUGAAUUGUACACACGGCGGUGUUAUGCAUGCUGAUUUUUGUUAUUUACUUGUACACACAUGAAAGCUGAGAUUUCUCGGUUAUGAAAGAACAAUGAGCAUAAUACAAAUAAGGAAGACAGUGUAUAAUCACUCAACAAGAUAUGUGUGAAGUUCAUGUGAGAUUUAA